UACGGGGGGGCAAGCGUUGUUCGGAAUUACUGGGCGUAAAGGGCUCGUAGGUGGCCAACUAAGUCAGACGUGAAAUCCCUACGGCUUAACCGGGGAACUGCGUCUGAUACUGGAUGGCUUGAGUUCGGGAGAGGGAUGCGGAAUUCCAGGUGUAGCGGUGAAAUGCGUAGAUAUCUGGAGGAACACCGGUGGCGAAGGCGGCAUCCUGGACCGACACUGACACUGAGGAGCGAAAGCCAGGGGAGCAAACGGG
rnacentral:rRNA from 1 species